UCGUCUCUCAUGGCAUUCAUAAUUUCUUCCUUCACAGCAGUAUAUUUGAGGUUACAAUUGAGUGCCAUUGAGUGUCAUUGCUAAAUGAGGAUGUGAUCAAGCAAUUUUUUUCCAUCAACAAUAAUUAUUGCAAUAUCGUUAUCACUACCAAUAGAUUUUAGGUCGUGUUCACAAUUGGUGAUGAAGCAGUCAAAUCAAUUUUGUUUACCAAGAGCUUAAGAAAAAGUAGAUAAAACAUUUCAAGCUAUUGAUAAGCAACAUAAUAAUUAUCAGGAAUUGGAAGUCAUUAAGAAGCUACGAAAAAUGGAUUUGAUAGCCAGAGAUAGAUUGAUGGAUUUUGCCAACAUUGUGAUGAGAGUUCCACCUUUGUUUAUUAUUGAUGAGUUACUGCGAAUAGGUGUGGGUGUUGCUGAAGAGAAUAUUGUGCUAAAUGAGACGCAUAUUUUGAAAUAUGUAGGGUUUCAGAAUUCAAUAGUGGGAUCACUAGCAUCAAUGGCAUCAGAACCAUCAGUGAUAUCAUCAUUGAACAUCAAUUCAUUCUUCUAUCAAGCUUAUGUUUUGAUAAUCAUGAAAUUUCUUGCUUGUUGUCUAGGUAUCAUCGUAUCUCUCUACAUCUUCAUGCUCUGGACAGAACACUUAUUAGUCGUCUACAUGUACCUGAUAUCAGUAGGCACGAUAUUCGUGUCCUAUUGGUCUAAUGUCACCAUGAUCCAAGCAAUUAUAAGUUACGCUAAUUCAACUAAUUCAUCAUCAAGUGUAUUAGAUGACAUAAUGGAUCUAAAAUUCACCCAUCUAUUUGUUGAUGGCCCUGGUGUAACUAUGGUCCAGAACACAAUUCUCCAAAUGAUUCUAGCAUGCGUCUUUUGCUGUACACACUUAGCUCCCCGUUUUCCAGCAAUGGAUGAAUUGUUGCUUCUCAACUUCUUGAUACCUUCUUGGAUAGUUUUUUGUCUACAAGUAUUUGAAUUGCCGAUAAACUUGUUGUAUCACUCGCCAGUGAUUGCGACACUGCUUCCAUUGCUGCUCUGCAAAUUUGUACUCUGGUAUAACAGUAUCAACAUGUUGAAUGUCAUAUAUGCUGGUUAUGAAGAUGCAAAAAAUUUUAUCUGUAAUUAUGGUCUAUCAGCAUUAGCAGAAUUUGAAUGGACACGUCUAAAUGUUCCGAAUGUAUUGCGAACAUUUUGGAUGUUACGUGUUGGGGAACAAGUAAUCCAAAUUCUUGGUAGAUAUUAUGGAAAUGAGACAUUUUGUUUUUAUAAAAUGAUACGUACAUUGCUGGUGAAUGGUUGUGAAACCUUGACCGCCUUAUUAGGAAUGACUUCAAUUAUUUCAUCAAUAUGCCAUUAUAUUGGUUGCUUUUUCCGUUGGGUUCUUCUAACAGAAGCUGAUGAUGAAAAAAGCAUCGGAACUGUGUCUGCUAUUUUAUUUUAUAUCCUAGCACUUCAAACAGGUUUAACAAGCCUAGAUCGUGAUAAAAGAUUGACUAGACUCUUUAAGAAUUUCUGUCUUCUAUCAACAGCUGUACUUCACUUUAUUCAUAACAUUGUUAAUCCAGUCUUGAUGUCAUUAAGUGCGUCACACAAUCCAGCAUUACAACGUCAUCUACGUGCACUAGCAGUUUGUGUAUUCCUGAUAGUCUUCCCUGUGUCAUUGCUGGUCUUCCUAUGGUCCAACUUCACCAUGAGCACUUGGCUCUUGGCCGUGUCAAUCUUCAGCAUCGAAGUCAUUGUCAAAGUAAUGGUAUCACUGGCUGUUUACUCGCUAUUCCUGUUUGAUGCUUACCGUAGCACAUUUUGGGAACCAUUGGACGACUGUUUAUACAUCAUUAGAUCAUUUGGCAAUACUGUAGAAUUCACCUUUGGUGUUAUUCUCUUCUUCAACGGCAUUUGGAUCCUAGUCUUCGAAUCAGGUGGUGCUAUACGUGCUGUUAUGAUGGCAAUUCAUGCUUACUUCAACAUCUGGCAUGAAGCUAAAGCUGGUUGGAGUGUUUUUAUGAAACGUAGAACAGCUGUGAAUAAAAUUAAUUCACUUCCAGAAGCUAAUGAAGAACAAUUAAAAUGUUUAGAUGAUGUUUGUGCUAUUUGCUAUCAAGAAAUGAAAACAGCUAAAAAAACAAGAUGCAAUCAUUUCUUCCAUGGUGUUUGUUUACGUAAAUGGUUAUAUGUUCAAGACAGGUGUCCAUUGUGUCAUGAUAUUUUAUAUAAAGUUGAAUCAAAUGAAAAGAAAAAUGAUACAGAAGUGUUAGAUGAUAGGAGACAUAAUGUUGAUGAAAGAAAUGAUGAUGGUAAUUUAAACGUACUUAGGACUGGACAUAAUAUUAAUCAACAAGGACAUACAGUUAAUGAUAGGUGAAGAUUUUAAUGAUUAGAAUUUAAUAAUUAUCUGACAAUGUGAUAAAAAUGGCUUUUUCUUAUUAUCAUUUGGAUUAUUUAUUAUUAAAUCACAAGAGAUCAAUUUUUAUUUUCUUAUUUUUGAUUUUUGAUGAACAUUCUAUCAAAAACAGUCGACAUUUUGAAUCAUAUAACGUAUAUAUCGAUAUGUAUCGAUAAUAUAGUUUGAUAUAUUCGAUAUAAUGAUUAUUUAUUGCAAUAUAUAAGCAAACAUUAGUCAUUUAUCGAUUAAAUAGGCCAAUUAAUCCAUUCAAUAUAUCACAAGUUAACUCCAUUGAAUGGAUCUUCAAUGCCUGAGCUAUCAAGGCCAUGGUUACGCUCAAGGAAUUUCUCUAUCAGAGAGAGUUUGGAAGUGGGGAUCAAUGUCUGACGAGUACCGCAAAGUCCAGUUCGUCUUGAGUAAUAUUCGAGAACGGAUGGAAAGUUGAUGGUCCAUUUAAAGAAUUUUUGAUAAAUAUUUUAACCAGAAGUUUUUAAA